GAGGAACCAUUCGUUUCUCUGGCCUCCCUGACUCUACAAGGUCUCCUUUGCUUGGAGGGCCCUGCACUUGGCUGUCUUCUGUGACGUGUCAUGGAAAGGAAACCAAGGCAGAGAAUGGUUAAAGAACUUGCUCGAGCCACACAGCUGGGAGUGAAAGAGCUGGGGUCACUGCUGUGGGUAGAAUUGUGUCUCUCCAAAAUUUGUACAUUGGAGUCCUAACCCUCAGUGCCUUGCAUGUGACCUCGUUUGGAGACAGGGCGGUCGCAGGGUAACCAAGUCAAAAUGAAGCCAUUAGGGUGGGCCCUAAUCCAAAGUCACUGGUGUCCU